rnacentral:rRNA from 1 species
AGGGCACCACCAGGAGUGGAGCCUGCGGCUUAAUUUGACUCAACACGGGGAAACUUACCCGGCCUGGACACUGGAAGGAUUGACAGAUUGAGAGCUCUUUCUUGAUUCAGUGGGUGGUGGUGCAUGGCCGUUCUUAGUUGGUGGAGCGAUUUGUCUGGUUAAUUCCGAUAACGAACGAGACUCUAGCCUAUUAAAUAGGCUCUCGGCUUUUAAACGCCGGGAGGACUUCUUAGAGGGACAGGUGGCGGUUCAGCCGCACGAAAGAGAGCAAUAACAGGUCUGUGGUGCCCUUUGUUGUCCGGGGCCGCACGCGCGCUACACUGAAGAGAUCAGCGUGCUUUACGUUCCUGCUCCGACCGGAGUGGGGAACCCAGUGAACCUUCUUCGUGAUUGGGAUAGAAGACUGUAAUUAUUCUUCUUGAACGAGGAAUUCCCAGUAAAUGCGAGUCAUAAGCUCGCGUUGAUUACGUCCCUGCCCUUUGUACACACCGCCUGUCGCUACUACCGAUUGAACGAUUU